GUUGAAGCUGGAAACAUUUUAUAUGCACAGAAGGCACCCCCUGUAUAAAUGAUUUGUAAUUUCUCGUACUGAGAGGUCACCCUGUCAGAGAACACGCCUUAGUAAUACUGUUUGCUGCCUUGCUAUGUCCACAAGUACCCAUAGGACAAUGAUGCAGUUGUUAAAACAAGCCAUUUAGGCCGACCCCGGCUCCCUGUUGCUCUAGAACCAGACAUUUAUAUUGAGUAGGCUUAGGCCCUGUUACAGAUUUACAACUACAAAGAAUGAAGGAAACUGAGAUGCUUGAGCAUACAUGUUGCGUAGAUACUUCAGAAUAUCUUUUCUAAAUUUUAUGAAGACUAAAUUACAGAUCAAAACUUCACAAGUGCACUCAAUACUGAAAUGUUACAUCAUAAAAAAAGAUUAAGAAUGUAACAGGAAAAGGGAUUAUCUACAACCGUCAAGUGCUAAAAUGACCUUCAAUGUAGUACUGAUGUCAUUGCGGUGAUAACUGAAGGACGAAAUGGGGACUGAACUUGUUAGCUUCAUGUUAUUUGUCAGUUUCCAUUUAACCAAGUGACAAAAUGUAGCUGGUCCUCUGCGUAUCGUACAGUUUUUGCCACUCCCUGUUGCCUCAUACAGUCACGUGAUGUGUUCUAGCAUACUUUAUAUAGACUGUUUACACAGCUCAUACUCUUCAUUUUGGGGGCCAAAAGGAGGAUGGAGCUCAUCAAACUAUUUAGCUGAGCAUAGUCAGUUUGCUCCUAAGCUACGGUGCGUGUACUAGUACUAACAUACGAUGCUAUCACAGCUAGCCGCGGGAUUUCGAAGGUCGUCAUAGCUCCUAAUUUUCCUGUAGUCACUCUUUUGCAGUGGUUCUUCAACUACAAAUUUAGUUUGGUUUCCUUGUUUAUCUGCCUGUAUGGUCGUCUUCUGUGGUCAGCAUUGUGGACACAAGUGGCAACGUUAUCCAUUGCAGUUUGGAAAAGAUACAUGCCAAGGCAAAGGCAGAAAAGAAAAAGACACGAAGGCGUGGCAAGGUUAUCAAGGAGUAUACCUGGAAGUAUCCUAGAUCACGGCAUGCUUUGGUGAUAUCUUCAACCACGCAAGCUCGUAUCGCUGGAUCAAGGUUGAGAUGACCCAGGUUGAUCACUGGCAUUGGCGGCGGGUGGAGGUCAUCAGACGGGAGCUGCUCCUGAGGGACAGUCCUCGAGUCAUCAGACAUGUUGACUUAGUACUGUACAAGCACCAGAGUCCAAUUGCAGUAUCCCACUUUACUCAGAAUAGAAACAGGAUGAAGUGUUCCUCUGUGGUGCAGCAUCUACUUAUAGGCAGCUUCAUUCCAGUGCCUGCUCAUUCCAAAUAAGUGGUCAAGCCAUUCAUGUCCAUGCGUGCAUGCACUUGGCAAUAUAUAUAUAAUUAUCUGUCUAUGGGAAGCUCCUACGCGGGGCCUACGUCGGGAACAGGAAGAGCCCGACAAAAUGUGAAUAUUCAUUCAUGUCGCCCGUGUGCCGCCGCAUAGCAAAUUGGGAAUAUCUUAAUACCGCGCUCUGGGCCACUCAUUCGCUCUUUCGUCACACAUGCUCCAUCGUCCUGGUAUGCAACUGGCUGUUGUUUAGGACACAAUUAUGAAGUUGUGUCUUGGCCUAUAUAUUUCUUGCUCCUGGUAUGCAACUGGUUUUUGUUUAGGGCACAAUAAUGAAGGUAUCUCUCGGACACAAGUUGUUUCUGCCAAUGUUUCUGGUGCUGUCCAGGGUGUUGCUUCAUGGAGAGGCUGGAUGGAUUCCCUCAUUGGAAACUUCGGCUAUCCCUGCAGUGUCAGCAAAUUGGGAGUAUCUUAAUCCUACGUUCCAUGCCGCCUACUUCUUUCCUUUGUUCCUGUUAUGCAACUGGUGUUUGUUUAGGAGACACAGCAAUAAUAAAAAUAUCUUACUGAUGCAA